AUUGAACGCUGGCGGCAGGCCUAACACAUGCAAGUCGAACGAGUGGCGGACGGGUGAGUAAUGUCUGGGAAACUGCCUGAUGGAGGGGGAUAACUACUGGAAACGGUAGCUAAUACCGCAUACCAUCGGAUGUGCCCAGGUGGGAUUAGCUAGUGGGUGGGGUAAAGGCUCACCAAGGCGACGAUCCCUAGCUGGUCUGAGAGGAGGACCAGCCACACUGGGACUGAGACACGGUCCAGACUCCUACGGGAGGCAGCAGUGGGGAAUAUUGCAAAAUGGGGGCAAGCCUGAUGCAGCCAUGCCGCGUGAAUGAAGAAGGCCUUCGGGUUGUAAAGUUCUUUCAGUGGGGAGGCGUUACCCGCAGAAGAAGCACCGGCUAACUCCGUGCCAGCAGCCGCGGUAAUAC
rnacentral:rRNA from 1 species